CAGAAGAUUCAACAGCGCAACGCAGCGCAGCUGUGCUUAGCAGUCUGAUUUUAAGAUCAGCACCAAGUUGAGCUCAAUUCAACAAGCUAAGCACAAAAUUAACCAUCAGCAAAUGAACCUGAUCGAGAGCGGUUUGAAGAAGGUAAUCGGUGACAAAGUAAGCGAAGAAGGAAAUUGGUGAUGAGGGAGGAAAGCGAUGACGGAAGCCAUUUCGAUCGAGAUACACACAGAGAUUACACGGUUAGUUGUUGCACGCUUAAAUUAAUUGCCGAUCAUGUGAUGCUCAUUCCUUCAUGGCUCUUCGAUCUGCAUGACCAUCUACUAUACGUUGGAAAAACUUAACGAGAGUUUGACCAUGUCGGAGUACUAAGCAACUGAUUACUUCCCAAGCCAUACACAAUAUAUUACUCCGUAUAUAUAUGCUGAACUCCUUACGUUUUACUCCCUGACAUUUGAUUGAUUCAAG